rnacentral:rRNA from 1 species
UGGGGAAUAUUGGACAAUGGGCGAAAGCCUGAUCCAGCCAUGCCGCGUGUGUGAAGCAGGUCUUCGGAUUGUAAAGCACUUUAAGUUGGGAGGAAGGGCAGUAAGCGAAUACCUUGCUGUUUUGACGUUACCGACAGAAUAAGCACCGGCUAACUCUGUGCCAGCAGCCGCGGUAAUACAGAGGGUGCAAGCGUUAAUCGGAAUUACUGGGCGUAAAGCGCGCGUAGGUGGUUCGUUAAGUUGAAUGUGAAAGCCCCGGGGUCAACCUGGGAACUGCAUCCAAAACUGGCGAGCUAGAGUAGGGCAGAGGGUGGUGGAAUUUCCUGUGUAGCGGUGAAAUGCGUAGAUAUAGGAAGGAACACCAGUGGCGAAGGCGACCACCUGGGCUCAUACUGACACUGAGGUGCGAAAGCGUGGGGAGCAAACAGG